AUUGACCGCUGGCGGAAUGCUUUACACAUGCAAGUCGAACGGCAGCACGGGGGCAGCCCUGGUGGCGCGUGGCGAACGGGUGAGUAAUACAUCGGAACGUGCCCGGUCGUGGGGGAUAACGUAGCGAAAGUUACGCUAAUAUCGCAUACGAUCUGAGGAUGAAAGCGGGGGACCUUCGGGCCUCGCGCGAUCGGAGCGACCGAUGUAAGAAUAGCUAAUUGGUGUGGUAAUCGCCAACCAAUUAGACGCACUGUAGCUGGUCUGAGAGGCAGACCCGCCACACUAGGACUGAGACACGGCCCAGACUCCUACGGGUGGCAGCAGUGGGGAAUUUUGGACAAUGGGCGCAAGCCUGAUCCAGCCAUUCCGCGUGCAGGACGAAGGCCUUCGGGUUGUAACCUGCUUUUGUACGGAACGAGAAGGCUCUGGCUAAUACCUGGUGCUCAUGACGGUACCGUAAGAAUAAGCACCGGCUAACUACGUG
rnacentral:rRNA from 1 species